AGGAUGAACGCUGGCGGCGUGCUUAACACAUGCAAGUCGAACGAUGAACCUCACUUGUGGGGGAUUAGUGGCGAACGGGUGAGUAACACGUGAGUAACCUGCCCUUAACUCUGGGAUAAGCCUGGGAAACUGGGCCUAAUACCGGAUAUGACUCCUCAUCGCAUGGUGGGGGGUGGAAAGCUUUUUUGUGGUUUUGGAUGGACUCGCGGCCUAUCAGCUUGUUGGUGAGGUAAUGGCUCACCAAGGCGACG
rnacentral:rRNA from 1 species